CCUACGGGUGGCAGCAGUGGGGAAUAUUGCACAAUGGGGGAAACCCUGAUGCAGCAACGCCGCGUGAAGGAAGAAGGUUUUCGGAUUGUAAACUUCUAUCAAUAGGGAAGAAAGAAAUGACGGUAACUCAAUCAGAAGCUCCGGCUAACUACGUGCCAGCAGCCGCGGAAAUAAGUAGGGGGCAAGCGUUAUCCGGAAUUACUGGGUGUAAAGGGAGAGUAGGCGGAAAGGUAAGCGAUAUGUGAAAGCCUUAAGCUUAACUUAAGGAUGGCAUAACGAACUAUCUAGCUAGAGUACAGGAGAGGAAAGCGGAAUUCCUAGUGUAGCGGUGAAAUGCGUAGAUAUUAGGAAGAACACCAGUGGCGAAGGCGGCUUUCUGGACUGAAACUGACGCUGAGGCUCGAAAGCGUGGGGAGCGAACAGGAUUAGAUACCCCAGUAGUC
rnacentral:rRNA from 1 species